rnacentral:lncRNA from 1 species
GAAGGGAUCCUAGUCAUGGUCAUAGGUCAACUUUCCUCCCAUGUUCUGCCUAAGCGUGGUGGGGAAGUGACCUCAGAGUGUGAGAGGGUCUCACGCUUGUUCGGCCGACUCACAGAGGGCUCCCCGGCAGCCUGAGACCCCCUAACCCAGCUGCAGACAGAGAACUGGGGAACCCAGAGAGCAGGAAAAAAAUGAAUGGACCUAAAGUGACUGGAGUGAUCAGGGUUGCCCAGGGCCCAGGAUAAUGUGGGAUCCCUGCCCUGGUGAGGGGACUCGGGCAGCACCAGCAGCAGGGGAGACAGUCCUCCAUCCCUGGGAAGAGGCUGGUCCCUCCCACUCAGACUCUGUCCCCAACACAGAAAGAAGGGGAGUGGGGCAGGGGCGGGACCUGCCUCUACCCUCCUACACACACCUUCAGAUUGUCACCCCACCUGGUGACAGUCAUAGAUCCACGGCAUCUGAGGGUUUUCUUGGAUUGCCAGGAGAGUUUUGGUCCCCUCUGUGGACAUGAAGAGAUGUUUGAAGAUAUGAAGCCAAGUUCACUCAGGGUACAGGGAGCAGGCAGCGAGAUGGGGGCUUUGAAGUCGUGCUAUCUGAAUCCCAUGCUGGGAUGUGAGUGAGGCCCAGGAGGAGGGCACCACUGUACAGGGAGUGACAAAGUACACAAC